AUAAGAGGUCUUGCCUGCCCUGUGACCACGUGUUUAACGGCCGCGGUAUCCUAACCGUGCGAAGGUAGCGCAAUCACUUGUCCUUUAAAUGAGGACCUGUAUGAAUGGCUUAACGAGGGCUUGACUGUCUCCUUUUUUCAGUCAACGAAAUUGAUCUUCCCGUGCAGAAGCGGGAAUAACCACAUAAGACGAAAAGACCCUGUGGAGCUUUAGAUAAUGGACUGAUUAGAACACACACUUGACACAGGACUAAAUAGCUCUAACACCGCCCUGCAUCUUCGGUUGGGGCGACCGUGGAGAAAUAAAUAUCCCCCAUGCGGACCAGGUACACCCACCCAAAACUAAGAGCCACAGCUCAAAGCAACAGAACCUCUGACCCAAAAUGACCCAGCAAUGCUGAUCAACGGACCAAGUUACCCCAGGGAUAACAGCGCAAUCCUCUUCUAGAGUCCAUAUCGACAAGAGGGUUUACGACCUCGAUGUUGGAUCAGGACAUCCUAAUGGUGCAGCCGCUAUUAAGGGUUCGUUUGUUCAACGAUUAAAGUCCUACGUGAUC
rnacentral:rRNA from 1 species